rnacentral:rRNA from 1 species
GACGAACGCUGGCGGCGUGCCUAAUACAUGCAAGUAGAGCGCACAGUUUAUAUAGUAGUUUGCUACACAUUAGCCUGUGAGUUGCGAAUGGGUGGGUAAGGCGUAGGUAACCUGCCUGGUAGCGGGGGUUAACUCUAGGACACGAUAGCUAUAAACGCAUUAUAUAGAUUAUUGCAUGUUAAUAGAUUGAAUGAUACUAUUGAAUCACUACCAGAUGUACCUGCGUUGUAUUAGCUAGUAGGUGAGGUAACGGCUCACCUAGGCGAUGAUACAUAGCCGACCUGAGAGGGUGAUCGGCCACACUGGGACUGAGACACGGCCCAGACUCCUACGGGAGGCAGCAGUAGGGAAUCUUCGGCAAUGGACGAAAGUCUGACCGAGCAACGCCGCGUGAGUGAAGAAGGUUUUCGGAUCGUAAAGCUCUGUUGGUAGAGAAGAACGGGGGUGAGAGUGGAAAGUUCACACUGUGACGGUAUCUUACCAGAAAGGGACGGCUAACUACGUG